CCGGGCGGCGGGCGGGGAGGGCGGCCGGGCGGGCGGGCGCGCAGCACCGGCUUUCCCCCUGUCCUCAGGAGACGCCGCCUGCAAUUCCGAAAUUAAGUCUCCACCAACACAUCUGUGGUUUUUAAAUAUAGCAGGGGACGAUUACCCAGGCAGGGUCCACCCAGGCCUAAGGGAGGAGUUGAGGGGGAUGGAGGUUGGCAGGGGAGGGAAAAUAAAACUCCCUUUUUCCCCUCUUUUUUUCUUCUGUUCUUGGUGCAGAACUCAGUCUGUCAUUUUCUCAACCCAAAUCAAACAACAGCUUGCGAGAGACGCUUGGGUACAAUGACCAACUCCACGUUUCUGUUGAGAAAACCGAUCCUCAGAGAGGCUAAGAACCAUCUCAAGGCCACAAGCAGCAGAGAUGGGAAGAUGGAAAAAAGGUGGAACCAACUGGAGUUUUGCUGAUCAUCAUGACGAUAUGUGCAAAUUCCAGGAUCCCCGGGGGACUGUUCCAGAGCAAGGUUUGGUGCCAAUCGACAAGUGAGCAUAGGAGUUAGAAAACAUAACCAUAUAGAACCAUAUUCUUGGUCAUUUGGAUCUCUCUUCAUCCAGGUUCCUUGGUCUCAAUUCCGUGUUCACAACUGCUCUCCUCCCUUCCAGUUCACCGUGACCUUGAGAAUACUCAAAGGUAUAGAAGAACUUCGUUCAUCUUCUAAGCAAGAGAACAGGUCUCUUUAAGAGGAGCCCCUGAUUUUCAUGCCUUUGAAGUUUCUCUCGAGGGCUGUGUUCUUCCAUCCCUAACGGGCCUCCCAAAUAUCUAUGGGAGCAUCAGCCAGGUGGAAAGGGCUGCUCUUGGACACUGUUUCUGCCAGGGACAUGUGGACGACAGCGGGCAUGGAAUAAAAAGAAUAGCAUGUCAAUAUUAAAGCAUUCUCUUUGCCCUCUCCCUAGACACACCUUCUUUUCUAGCCAUGGCUUACCAUAAUUUCCUGGAUAUUUAGCGAUGUUCUUAAGAAGCAAUGAACAACCUCAUCCAAUAUCCAGCAACACAUCCUUUUACCUCUUACAUAAUUUCUCCAUUUGUUUAUGAAGGUUUUAUUACUAGGGCUGUGAGUUGUUGGAGAGAAAAUAUUUCCAUGGUGGAAUAAGUAGGCUCGAUUGCUGAUUGACUAACAGAUGAUGGAGAAGGGGUGCUAAGUCGAUUUCCAAGGGUCUGGCCUGAGAAACUCGAUGGAGGGCAGCACUGGCUUAGGAAAUCUGAAAGGGAAAACACGUUUGGAAAGCAAGGAGGAAGGUGUGGUUCUGCCCCUCAUGAACUCGUGGGAUGUUCAAAAAGGAAAUCUCAGAGGCACAGAGACAGAUCUGAAGCUUCAGAGGCAGAGCUGGUGGGGGGACACAGAUUUGGGAGCGCGUAGGUGGUCAUGGAGGCCAUGGGAACGGAUGAGAACACCCAGGGAGAAUAUGUAGUGCUAGCCACAUGCUCUUCUACUCCUUUUUAAACGAUUAUCCUAGAGCAGGGGUUAGCAAUCUAUGGCCUAUGGGCCAAAUCGGGCCUGUGGCCUGUCUUGCAAAUAUACGUUUAUUGGAACGCAUGCCUGUUUAUGUACUGUCAGUGAGGGCUCUGCUUGAGGACAGAGGGGCAGAGUGGUGGCCACAGACGCUGUAUGACCGGUAAGGCAGGGAAAUACUUACCACUCGGCCUUUUACAGAAGUGCUAAUCCCUGACCUAGAGGUUAUAAGAGGUACCCGUGCUUUAUUAAAUUUAAUAUCAGUAAGGCAGUUAAGUCCGUUGUCAGUUCAUUGCUGCUCUUUCGCAGCUAAUGGAUCUGCUUGUUCUGUUGCUCCCAAAUUUGUCUCUGCCUUUGGUUCUUAUCAGUGUUAUUAUGAUGGGCCUAGGUAUAGCUUUCAUUAAAUUUAUCUUAUUUGGAUUUUGUAGAAAUUCUUUUUUUUUUUUUAAAUAGUAUGUCAGUAUUAAAGCAUUCUCUUUGCCCUCUCCCCCUAGACACUUAUACCUUCUUUUCUAAUCAUAAGUUACAAUAAUGGGGGGGAAAUGCAUGGAGCCCAAUGUGGGGCUUGAACUCACCACACUGAGAUCAAGACCUGAGCUGAGAUCAAGAGUGGGAUGCUUAACCAGUUAAGCCACACGGGAGCCCAUUAUAGAAGUUCUUGAACAUGUCACUUAAUGUCCUUAAAUGAUCUUGGAAAUAUAGUAAUUAUACUUUUGAAUAAUAUUUCUGCCUGUUGUCUGUCUCCUCUUCUUUUAGAACCCCAAUUACAGGGAUGUUCAAUUGUGUUAGUAUGCCCUGCAUUUCUUUUACGCCCUUGUCUGGAUUUUCUCUUCCUUUUCAUCUCUAUGUUUUAGCAUAAGUAUUUUAUACUGACCUAUCUUUCAGUUCCCUAAUUUCCAUCUGCUCAUUUUUUAGUAGAUUCCAAGUUUUUGCUGAAAAUUGCUAUCUUAUUAUCUAUUGAUCACAGCUCUCUUAUAGUCUGGAUGUGGCACCUCCAAAAUCUAGACCUCCUGUAGGUCUGUUUCUAGAUAUUGUUCUCCUUCCCUCCUCCCUCUUCCUCCCCUCCCCCUCUCAUUCUCUCUCUCCCUCCCUCUCCUCCCUUCCCUCUUGUUUUUCUUGUUUCUGGGAAUGCCUGCUGUUUUGUUGUUUGUUUGGGCUGAAUACUAACAUUAGGUAUGAAGAAUCCUACACAUUUUGAGUGUACAAUAUGAGUCUUUGGGUAAUAUUAGCUUUUUUAGAGAGGACUUACUUAUCUUUGGGGUAGGCUUUUAGGAUAGAGAUGAAUUAUCUUAAUUUUGUCUGCAUGUGAGUUUAUUUGAGACUGCUCCAUGCUGAUGCAAGCAGUGGUCUAUUUCUGGUCACCUCCGUUUCCCAAGGCUCACCUCCGUGGUGAGCCACAAUUCCAAUUCCUUUGUCUCCACGUAGAUUAGACUGCUCAGAAUUCUACUUAAUAUCUCCAUCUUUUAGUUGCUAUGUCCUGCUUAGCUUUCCGGUGGACCAGAGUUUAUGGGUCUGCAGGUGCUUUGAGGAAGAAUGCACUAGAGACUUCCAGCUCACUUCUCAAUGCCUUCCUUUCCUCUGGUUUUUAGUGCUUCGGGUCCUUACUGCCUUGGUAGCUCUGUUAUCAUCAAACCAUAGCUGAAAGUGCAGAUCACUUAGUUGUUUUUUUAAACACAAAAGAAAUAUAUGUUUGCUCUAUCAAAUUAAAUAAUACAGACAUAUACCAGGAACAGUUUAAUAAAUCCCCGUUCCCAAUCUGUCUCCUUUAUUGAAGUAACCAAUGUUAAAGUCUGCUGAGUAUCCUUCCAUUUUUUUUUUUUAUACUCACAUAUACCAAUAUAGUGGUUGCCAAAGACAAUUAGCUUGGGUUUGUUUUUAUUUUAUUUAUUUAUUUGACAGACAGAGAUCACAAGCAGGCAGACAGGCAGGCAGAGAGAGAGGAAGGGAAGCAGGCUCCCUGCUGGGCAGAGAGCCCGAUGUGGGGCUCUA